UGAAUACGAGACGCUACGGCGUCGAAGCAGUCUAUGUCAUACUUCCAAGAAAAGCUUGCACUGUCAUAAACAAAUAAUGCCUGUACCAUAACCGACACAGGUGGGUAGGUAGAGUAUACUAAGGGGCGCGAGAUAACUCUCUCUAAGGAACUCGGCAAAAUGACUCCGUAACUUCGGGAGAAGGAGUGCCUUAUUUAUAAGGUUGCAAUAACAAGAUCCAAGCAACUGUUUAUCAAAAACACAGGUCUCCGCUAAGUCGUAAGACGAUGUAUGGGGGCUGACGCCUGCCCAGUGCCAGAAGGUUAAAGUAGUUGGUUAGCAUUAGCGAAGCUGAUAACUGAAGCCCUGGUGAACGGCGGCCGUAACAAUAACGGUCCUAAGGUAGCGAAAUUCCUUGUCGGGUAAGUUCCGACCCGCACGAAAGGCGUAAUGAUUUGGAUACUUUCUCAGAGAGGGGCUCGGUGAAAUAGACUUGUCUGUGAAGAUGCGGACUACCUGCACCAGGACAGAAAGACCCUAUGAAGCUUUACUGUAACUUGAAAUUGAAAUUGGACUUUAUUUGCGCAGUAUAGGUGGGAGGCAUUGAUAAUAUUCUUGCGGGAAUGUUGGAGCCAUCAGUGAGAUACCACUCUUGUAAUGUUAGAUUUCUAACUUUGGAUCAUUAUCUGGUCAAAGGACAGUUUCAGGCGGGCAGUUUGACUGGGGCGGUCGCCUCCUAAAUGGUAACGGAGGCGCACAAAGGUUUCCUCUGAACGGGUAGAAAUCGUAUCUAGAGUGUAAAGGCAUAAGGAAGCUUGACUGUGAGACCUACAAGUCGAGCAGGGACGAAAGUCGGUCUUAGUGAUCUGACGGUGCUGAGUGGAAAGGCCGUCACUCAACGGAUAAAAGUUACUCUAGGAUAACAGGCUGAUCUCCCCCAAGAGUUCACAUCGACGGGGAGGUUUGGCACCUCGAUGUCGGCUCAUCGCAUCCUGGGGCGGUAGUACGUCCCAAGGGUUGGGCUGUUCGCCCAUGAAAGCGGUACGCGAGCUGGGUUCAGAACGUCGUGAGACAGUUCGGUCCAUAUCCGGUGUAGGCGUUAGAAUAUUGAGAGGAGCCUUCUUUAGUACGAGAGGACCGAGAAGGACAUACCUCUGGUGUACCAGUUAUCGUGCCAACGGUAAACGCUGGGUAGCUAUGUAUGGAGAGGAUAACCGCUGAAAGCAUCUAAGUGGGAAGCCCACCUCAAGAUAAG
rnacentral:rRNA from 1 species